rnacentral:rRNA from 1 species
AACGAACGCUGGCGGCAUGCCUAACACAUGCAAGUCGAACGAGACCUUCGGGUCUAGUGGCGCACGGGUGCGUAACGCGUGGGAACCUGCCCUUAGGUUCGGAAUAACUCCCCGAAAGGGGUGCUAAUACCGGAUAAUGUCUUCGGACCAAAGAUUUAUCGCCUUUGGAUGGGCCCGCGUUGGAUUAGCUAGUUGGUAGGGUAAAAGCCUACCAAGGCGACGAUCCAUAGCUGGUCUGAGAGGAUGAUCAGCCACACUGGGACUGAGACACGGCCCAGACCCCAAGGGGAGGAGGAAUGGGGGAAAAUGGAAAAAGGGGCGAAAGCUGAACCAAGAAAGGCGGGGGGAGGGAGGAAGGCUUAAGGGUGGAAAAGCUCUUUACCCGGGAUGAUAAUGACAGUACCGGGAGAAUAAGCUCCGGCUAACUCCGUG